rnacentral:rRNA from 1 species
UGGGGAAUUUUGGACAAUGGGGGCAACCCUGAUCCAGCCAUGCCGCGUGAGUGAAGAAGGCCUUCGGGUUGUAAAGCUCUUUCGGACGGAACGAAAUGGUCAGGGUGAAUAUCCCUGACUGAUGACGGUACUGUAAGAAGAAGCACCGGCUAACUACGUGCCAGCAGCCGCGGUAAUACGUAGGGUGCGAGCGUUAAUCGGAAUUACUGGGCGUAAAGGGCUCGUAGGCGGCCAACUAAGUCAGACGUGAAAUCCCUCGGCUUAACCGGGGGAACUGCGUCCGAUACUGGAUGGCUUGAAUCCGGGAGAGGGAUGUGGAAUUCCAGGUGUAGCGGUGAAAUGCGUAGAUAUCUGGAGGAACACCGGUGGCGAAGGCGACAUCCUGGACCAAUUCUGACGCUGAGGAGCGAAAGCCAGGGGAGCAAACGGGAUUAGAUACCCAAGUAGUCCCUGAGCGGGCUGGCAAGGCGCAU